rnacentral:rRNA from 1 species
UGGGGAAUAUUGGACAAUGGGCGAAAGCCUGAUCCAGCCACGCCGCGUGUGUGAAGAAGGUCUUCGGAUUGUAAAGCACUUUAAGUUGGGAGGAAGGGCAGUAAGCGAAUACCUUGCUGUUUUGACGUUACCGACAGAAUAAGCACCGGCUAACUCUGUGCCAGCAGCCGCGGUAAUACAGAGGGUGCAAGCGUUAAUCGGAAUUACUGGGCGUAAAGCGCGCGUAGGUGGUUCGUUAAGUUGAAUGUGAAAGCCCCGGGCUCAACCUGGGAACUGCAUCCAAAACUGGCGAGCUAGAGUAGGGCAGAGGGUGGUGGAAUUUACUGUGUAGCGGUGAAAUGCGUAGAUAUAGGAAGGAACACCAGUGGCGAAGGCGACCACCUGGGCUCAUACUGACACUGAGGUGCGAAAGCGUGGGGAGCAAACAGG